GGGCCCGGGCCUCCGACGGCGGAUGGCGCCGACGCUGCUGGCGGCGGCGCUGAUCGCGGCGUUCCACGCCCUGACGAUCGUCUCGGCGCGGUUCCAC
rnacentral:tRNA from 1 species